GCUGCUGGUGAAUUCGCCGAAGAAAAGAUUGAAAACAUCAAAGAAGAUUUCGAGCUUUUUGAUACAACUGGCGAUGGAAAAAUAGCAUAUCAUCAGGUCGGUGAUGUUACCAGAGCUAUGGGGGAAGAUCCAACUAACGAAGACGUU